AUCAUUAGUCGUUUCGUUCUAUGGCCCGCACACACCCAAAGCGGGAGGAAUAAGGUAAAAUCGAACCCAAGCUCAAAAAAAUCAAAGCCAAGGAGAUCAUAAAAAAUGACAAAAAGAGCAGACAGGUAAUACAAACAUUAAAAAAAUGACAUUAAGAGCAUUGUGGUGCACUUAAAGUCUUGUUCAAAUCAAACGAAGUAACGAUAUACAACCCAUCAUUUAUGAUUUUAAUAUGGUGCAUUGACAAUGUCGUGCUUGGAUCGUAAUUUUUUUACCGGAGUGCAGAUAGAUUCCCGAGUUGGUCUACGCAGCGAUGAUUUGUCCACCAUAGCUACGUCGUCAGGUAGAGCCACAAUCAGACUACGAUCGGUUCCAAACCUAAAGUCUUCAGCUUGAACAUUGGCAUCGUAUCUUCGAAUCUUAUAACUAUCCGUAAAUCCUCGUUUAACACGAUCCAAGUUCCAGCUGAUCAAAAAUGGGCCUAUACUGGAUACAAUAGUUGUUUCCUUUGCGUCAAUUCCGGUAUUGAAUUUAGCUGGUGUAAAGGAUGCACCUCCCUUGAGCUCUCUCUGCAUCAUCGCUAUAUGUUGUGGACUUAGCUGUAGUCGUUUAGGUUUUGGCUUUUUAUCUUUGGCGAAAUUACGCUCAAAACCCAAACGACCGGCAUAUCGACCCUCUUUGAUACGGGUGUCAAUCAACAAAAUAUAUGUUUUACAGGUAGCUAGCACAAAAUCACCAGACGCUGUGACAUCCACCCCGAUAAUCGCCUCACCAAGCGCUGGUAAAGCAGUCUUUGCGUUCACACCAAUACGAUCAAAUAGACGGAUGUCACCUUUGUUACUAGCAACUGCUAUAUAACCGUUUUCAGUUGUAGCAGCAGAACUAAAGUCAUUCUUAGUAGCAUACUGCUUGAACUGUUCAGCAACCAGUUUAUUGCCCUCCACACGAGGAUCAAUUCGGAAGAUGGAAUUGUUUGAAAGACCAAUCAAGGUUUGUUCAGCUGUCAUUUGUGCGAAUUUGUUGUCUGGUGUAAAUGUAACGAGAGGAACAUCAUCGUGGACUUUCCACUCGUCAACGAUCUUUCCAUAUUCAAUAUCCAUAUGAUACAGACUAUGUGGCGCAUUUUCAGUUUGGAAUAAAAUCGAAGAAUCUUGAUUGUGUAACAUCAGCUUGCUAGGUCGGAGUGAUUUGCCCUUAGGCGUUGAAAGAUUGUUCAAAGCGGUUUGGAAUUUUAACCCUUUUUCGUCGACAUGCUUAAAAACGCCAAUUUUGUUGUUUCGGACGACGUAAGAUCUAUCGUUUUUAUAUCCUACCGCUAACAAACUGUUAUGCUCUUUAGCAGCUUCCUUUCGCCAUCUUGAUUCAUCCAAAUCAUCAGCCUCACCGUCACUAAAAUCUGCAAACGAAUCUUCGAAAUCGCUGGCUUCCUCAUCCUCCUCUUCCUCUUCCUCCUUCCUGCUUAACAACUGUUGACGAGCAAACUCCUCGUCUUCACUAUCUUCUAAUUCUUCAUCUUCAUGAAAGGUUUCCAUAACAUAAUCACGCUGUUCAUCAUCAAUUUUGAGCCAACGCUGUUGGUUGAGACUUUCCCAAAGUGCACGCAUUAGCAGUUCCUGAAAUUGCUCCAUGCGAACUUGCGAAUCGAAUCGUAACAACCAUGAAAAGGCAUUACUAUUGGCGUCAAAAUAAUUCCAAAUAAACGAAAGAUGUUCAAAAGAAAAUACUGGAUUCAUGUCUGCAUCUACAGACUGGCUUAACCAUGUCUUCUCUUCAGUGCUUAUAGUAAACCAAUAAUUCCAAUCUCCCAAGUCAAAUACGCUCGCUUCCACAUUUGGAUCUUGUAAAAUAAAAACCUCCUCAACUGCAUCGAAUAAAUGUAAUUCAGCACUUAUUGUUCCCAUUAGCUCGCCCUCUAGGCUCUUGAUAUUUUCAGUUUUGGUGACCUCUUCUUUUUCCGGAUUAACAAUCGAGGUUUGCUGUUGAACUAGAGGCUCUUCAGCUUCCUGUUGUCCUAAAAGAUAUUUUUUUGCAAUCUCAUCAUCCAAUUGCUCUUGCUUUUUUAAACGCAUCAAGUCUUCGGACUCCAAAUCCAACUUGGUGACAAUAUUUUCUAAACUGUCCACUUCCUUUGAUGGUCGAGUAAUGGGAUUGCUAAAUUGCUCCAAGUCGGCAAGCGUAGCCUUUUCGUGAGAUUGUCGGUAUUUGCGUUCGUACAUACACUGCAAAGCUACCAUUUCAAAGGUAUAAGCAACGCCUUCUUGUAAACAAUUCUCACACGUAAACUCGUACAACGUGCCAUCUUGAAAGUCUGGGUUAUCCCACAUUAUCGUGAUGCUGUCUUUAUUUACGUCAAAUCUCAAGUGCAAUUUUUCGUCUAGUAAAAACGACUGUUCGUCCUCAGCUUCGUCUCCAUCAUCUUCUAGCUCUUCUUCUCCUUCUUCGUAUGCUCUUUGUAUGACAAGCUGAUACUGAAAUUCCGCCGUUGUUCGUCGAAUUGACGCACUUGCAUCCUUGAACCUAUACAAUCGUUAGCUGUACGAACCCAAUACAAAUAUUAAUGAUUUAUCUCAUUCCGUUCAAACUUACAUGCACUCCCUGUAAUUUUCAUGCACCGAAUACAGCUGCCCAUAAGGGAUUUGAACAAUUUCGGUCGAAUUCGUGUUACCCCAUAUGUACUUCCUAGAUCUUAAGUUAGUAUUGUUAUUUCAUCAAUUGCGACUUUAGCACUUACCCCAAUGAUUUUAGCAUAAACA